rnacentral:lncRNA from 1 species
UUCUAUGAAAUGAAGACAAAACCUCUCUAUUAAAAUGAUGCUUCAUCAAAGUCAUUUAAAACCGUUCUUUAUGUAGCUUGUAUGCAGGAAGCUCAUCUGCUUAUACUUCGUCUGGUCUUUAAUAUGUGAUUUUGGUUGUGGAGGGUUGCCUUCUAUGUGCUUGAUGCUAGGAUCUUGUGAACUUUGUAGCUGAUUUGCUGCUUCUCUCUAGAUGGCUGAUUCUCAAGGUUUAAAAUAUAAGAUGCCGACGAGCUUUGUAUAGUGUUCUUCUCCUAUAGCAGUGCUUGAUUUGAUGAUGAGCUACUAGAGGUUCUACAUGUAGUUUGGAGUGAGGGUUUAGUCAGCUUGUUAUUGCUUCAACUUGCUUUUGCUUCCACCAUUGCUUUAAGGUUUUGUUGUUUUAGGGGCGUGGGCCUUUAUUUUAGGAUCUUAGUUUUUGAGCCUUUAGUAGCCUUUUUUCUAAAAGCAUGUCUUGAAUGAUUGGAUUGGGCCUGGAGCCCUUGUUUCAGGAAUGGCUCUCGACUUCGAGAGGGAAAGGAAAAAACAACCAACAACAACAAUGAAGCCCUUCUUUCAAGAACUUUUUUAAGUGUAAUGGUGAUCCUUGAAAUUCUUGUAUUUGAAUCAACCACCUUAUAAGCAAGCUGUUGGCCAUGGUUGAGACUUUGACCGAGAGGACUUCAACCAAGAGGCGAGACUAGAGGAUUUUGAAGGUUGGUCGAGAGUUUGAGACAGAGACAGUUGCCAUGAGUUCCAAUUCCUUUCGACUCAUAAGAAUCAGUCAAGAUUAUUAUGUAGGAACUCUAGAUCAGCUAGAAGAACCAAAAAGUGAGGUCUCAAAAUCCGCAUUGUUACUUCAGUAACUUCAAAAGCAUCCACAUCUGUGAGAAAUGGGCAGCAUAGAGGCUGUUGUUUAACCUCAUUCCAACCGCAAGAAAUAAUUUGAGCAAAGCAUUUUGAAUUCCUUUUAGCCGAGUGACUUGGGCCAGUUAUCAGCAAACCAACAAUACACAAGGGCUCAGGGCAGUCUUGGCUUUUUAUGAUUAACGUUUGUCACAGCCUAAGCAGGCAUGUAUGCACAUCUAAAACUAAUUGAAUGGAUUAAUUUUGGAACCAUGUAAUGCUGAUAAGUCAAUUUAAUUCUCAGGAUUCACAGAAAUGUGUAAAAAUAAGCUUAUUGAAGAUGGACAAGUCUUGGAUCGAUCAAUCCCAGAUCACUGUCUGGUUGGCCAACACAGUAACC